rnacentral:misc_RNA from 1 species
CGAGUUACUAAGCCUAUGAGCCAUUUUGGUCAUUGGAAAUCAGAGAACAUCAACGACGAUUUGCAGAGAGAAGAAAAAGGAAAUCAAAGGAGCUAAACCAAAGAUGAUCCACCGGAAAUGGAGUCUUCUCACCGGCCCCCCCGCAAUCUUGGGCGGCAUAGUUGUCUCUCUAGCCGCCUUCAACUUCUUCUUCGUUAAAGAAGAUCCAUUCCUAAAACCAAAGGAAAGGAAGGCGGAACCAACUACAAAAUGAAAGAUAUAUAUUUCAGUGAUGGUUCCAAUUUAAGUCAUCUAAAGCUUGUCACUGGAUUGGUGUUGUCUCCGUAAUGUUUUUUUGCUUUCUCAUGUGAAUUUGUUAUUAGCUCCAUGGUUUUGUCUUAG